rnacentral:snoRNA from 1 species
UCACCCUGUGCCUCGCUCGAUUAUGGUUUAUAUACUGUUAUCUUGAGCUGGAUAAUCGUUUUCCUGAUUAAUGGGUAAAAGUAACUUGGCUUCUUUGAGUACGAGAGUAUCUAAAAUUUUUUAAUUUUGAAUUUCCAUGGUACUUUUCUUGUAAUUAGAAGUUUUCAGACAU